GAUGAACGCUGACAGAAUGCUUAACACAUGCAAGUCAACUGUGGCGGACGGGUGAGUAACGCGUAAAGAACUUGCCUCACGGAUAGGGACAACAUUUGGAAACGAAUGCUACUACCUGAUACUGUGAGAGAGCUUUGCGUCCCAUUAGCAAGUUGGAGAGGUAACCGCUCACCAAGGCGAUGAUGGGUAGCCGGCCUGAGCGGGUGGUAGGCCACAAGGGGAAUGAGACACGGGCCUUACUCGUACGGGAGCAAGCAGAGCAAAAUAUUGGACAAUGGGCCGAAGUCGGAUCCAGAUAUUCGGAGAGCACGAUGAAGUUUUCGGAAUGAAAAGUGGUUUCAGUAGGGAAGCGGUACCAACAGAGGAAGUAACGGCUAAAUACGUGCCAGCCGCCGCGGUAAUAC
rnacentral:rRNA from 1 species